rnacentral:rRNA from 1 species
UACGUAGGGCGCAAGCGUUGUCCGGAAUUACUGGGCGUAAAGAGCUCGUAGGUGGUUUGUCGCGUUGUUCGUGAAACUCACAGCUCAACUGUGGGCGUGCGGGCGAUACGGGCAGACUGGAGUACUGCAGGGGAGACUGGAAUUCCUGGUGUAGCGGUGGAAUGCGCAGAUAUCGAGAGGAACACCAGUGGCGAAGGCGAGUCCCUGGAAAACACCUGACGACUGGAGGCACGAAAGCUAGGGGAGCAAACAGG